rnacentral:rRNA from 1 species
UUCCAGACUCCUACGGGAGGCAGCAGUGGGGAAUAUUGCACAAUGGGGGGAACCCUGAUGCAGCGACGCCGCGUGAGCGAUGAAGUAUUUCGGUAUGUAAAGCUCUAUCAGCAGGGAAGAAAAUGACGGUACCUGACUAAGAAGCCCCGGCUAACUACGUGCCAGCAGCCGCGGUAAUACGUAGGGGGCAAGCGUUAUCCGGAUUUACUGGGUGUAAAGGGAGCGUAGACGGCUGUGCAAGUCUGGAGUGAAAGGCAUGGGCUCAACCUGUGGACUGCUUUGGAAACUGUGCAGCUUGAGUGUCGGAGAGGCAAGUGGAAUUCCUAGUGUAGCGGUGAAAUGCGUAGAUAUUAGGAGGAACACCAGUGGCGAAGGCGGCUUGCUGGACGAUGACUGACGUUGAGGCUCGAAAGCGUGGGGAGCAAACAGGAUUAGAUACCCGCGUAC